rnacentral:miRNA from 7 species
UGGGGGUGCAGGUGGGGGGCUUAAGUCCAAGGGGUGUCUUCACU